rnacentral:rRNA from 1 species
GACGAACGCUGGCGGCGUGCUUAACACAUGCAAGUCGAACGGAAAGGCCCUGCUUUUGUGGUGUGCUCGAGUGGCGAACGGGUGAGUAACACGUGAGUAACCUGCCCUUGACUUUGGGAUAACUUCAGGAAACUGGGGCUAAUACCGGAUAGGAGCUCCUGCUGCAUUGUGGGGGUUGGAAAGUUUCGGCGGUUGGGGAUGGACUCGCGGCUUAUCAGCUUGUUGGUGGGGUAGUGGCUUACCAAGGCUUUGACGGGUAGCCGGCCUGAGAGGGUGACCGGCCACAUUGGGACUGAGAUACGGCCCAGACUCCUACGGGAGGCAGCAGUGGGGAAUAUUGCACAAUGGGCGGAAGCCUGAUGCAGCAACGCCGCGUGCGGGAUGACGGCCUUCGGGUUGUAAACCGCUUUCGCCUGUGACGAAGCGUGAGUGACGGUAAUGGGUAAAGAAGCACCGGCUAACUACGUG